GAUGAAGAACGUAGCGAAAUGCGAUAAGUAAUGUGAAUUGCAGAAUUCAGUGAAUCAUCGAAUCUUUGAACGCACAUUGCGCCCGCCAGUAUUCUGGCGGGCAUGCCUGUUCGAGCGUCAUUUCAGCCAUCAAGCCCCCGGCUUGUGUUGGGGACCUGCGGCUGCCGCAGGCCCUGAAAAGCAGUGGCGGGCUCGCUGUCACACCGAGCGUAGUAGCAUACAUCUCGCUCUGGGCGUGCUGCGGGUUCCGGCCGUUAAACCACCUUCGUAACCCAAGGUUGACCUCGGAUCAGGUAGGAAGACCCGCUGAACUUAAGCAUAUCAAUAAGCGGAGGA
rnacentral:misc_RNA from 1 species